rnacentral:tRNA from 1 species
UAGGGUGUAGUAUAAUAGGACAUACGAGGAGUUUUGGAUUCUUAGAUGGGGUUCGAGCCCUCUCUCCCUAG